GAUGAAGAACGUAGCAAAAUGCGAUAAGUAAUGUGAAUUGCAGAAUUCAGUGAAUCAUCGAAUCUUUGAACGCACAUUGCGCCCGCCAGUAUUCUGGCGGGCAUGCCUGUUCGAGCGUCAUUUCAACCCUCAAGCACAGCUUGGUGUUGGGACUCGCGUUAAUUCGCGUUCCUCAAAUUGAUUGGCGGUCACGUCGAGCUUCCAUAGCGUAGUAGUAAAACCCUCGUUACUGGCAAUCGUCGCGGCCACGCCGUUAAACCCCAACUUCUGAAUGUUGACCUCGGAUCAGGUAGGAAUACCCGCUGAACUUAAGCAUAUCAAUAAGCGGAGGA
rnacentral:misc_RNA from 1 species